rnacentral:tRNA from 1 species
GCAGCGGUAGUUCAGUUGGUUAGAAUACCGGCCUGUCACGCCGGUGUUCGCGGAUUCGGCCCCCGUCCGCUGCGACA